UACAGAGGUCUCAAGCGUUGUUCGGAUUCAUUGGGCGUAAAGGGUGCGUAGGCGGCGCGGUAAGUCGGGGUGUGAAAAUCUCGGAGCUUAACUCCGAAACUGCAUUCGAUACUGCCCGUGCUGGAGGACUGGAGAGGAGACUGGAAAUUUACGGUGUAGCGGUGAAAAUGCGUAGAUAUCGUAAGGAAAGACCAGUGGCGAAAGGCGGGGUCUCUGGGACAGUUCCUGACGCUGAGGCACGAAGGCCAGGGGGAGCAAAACGGGG
rnacentral:rRNA from 1 species